GCCGGGCAUGGUGGCGCGCGCCUGUAGUCCCAGCUACUUGGGAGGCUGAGGUAGGAGAAUCGCUUGAAUCCGGGAGGUGGAAGUCGCAGUGAGCCGAGAUCGCGCCACUGCACUCCAGCCUGGGUGACACAGUGAGACUCCACCUCAA
rnacentral:SRP_RNA from 2 species